ACAACAUUCGGACCGUCGGACUAUCGAGCAAUUACACCCGCUCAGUGGAAGAUCUUUUAAUGGUAGA
rnacentral:pre_miRNA from 1 species